rnacentral:rRNA from 1 species
AGAGUUUGAUCCUGGCUCAGGACGAACGCUGGCGGCGUGCCUAAUGCAUGCAAGUCGCACGCACCUUCGGGUGAGUGGCGCACGGCUGAGGAACACGUGGCUAACCUGCCCAUGAGUGGGGGAUAACGGGCCGAAAGGCUCGCUAAUCCCGCAUACGAUCCGCGCAAGCGGAGGAAAGCCGCAAGGCGCUCAUGGAGGGGGCCGCGCCCCAUUAGAUAGUUGGUGUGGUAAUGGCGCAUCAAGUCCGUGAUGGGUUCCGGGUCUGAGAGGACGAUCCGGCAGACUGGGACUGAGACACGGCCCAGACUCCUGCGGGGGGCAGCAGCAAGGAAUUUUCCCCAAUGGGCGCAAGCCUGAGGGAGCAACGCCGCGUGGAGGAUGACGGCUUUCGGGUUGUAAACUCCUUUUUAUGGGGACGAUAAUGACGUACCCCAUGAAAAAGCCCCGGC